AAAGGAAUUGACGGGGGCUCACACAAGCGGUGGAGGAUGUGGCUUAAUUCGAGGCUACGCGAAGAACCUUAUCCUAGGCUUGACAUGCGGGAUGCCUUCCCUGAAAGGGGGUCUGGCUGCCUUCGGGUGAAACCAGCACAGGUGCUGCAUGGCUGUCGUCAGCUCGUGUCGUGAGAUGUCGGGUUAAGUCCCUUAACGAGCGAAACCCCUAUCAUUAGUUGCCAGCGCGUAAAGGCGGGGACUCUAGUGAGACUGCCGAUGUUAAAGAGGAGGAAGGUGGGGAUGACGUCAAGUCCUCAUGGCCCUUAUGCCUAGGGCUGCACACGUCCUACAAUGGUACACACAAAGGGAAGCAAAAUCGUGAGAUCAAGCAAAUCCCAAAAAAUGUACCCCAGUUCGGAUUGUAGUCUGCAAUUCGACUACAUGAAGUCGGAAUCGCUAGUAAUCGCGGGUCAGAAUACCGCGGUGAAUAUGUUCCUGAGCCUUGUACACACCGCCCGU
rnacentral:rRNA from 1 species